rnacentral:Y_RNA from 1 species
GGCUGGCCUGAGGGUAGUGGAUUAUCAGAACUUAUUAACAUCAGUGUUACUGAAGUUGGUGAACAACACCCCCCCCCCCCACCCCACUGGUAAAUUUGACUGGCUUUUU